GCCUCCUUGGCUCAGUUGGCUAGAGCGCAGGUCUCAUAGAAUCCCUAUGACUAAGCAUUGCUUAGGUAAUCCUGAGGUCGCAAGUUCGAGCCUUGCAGGGGGCA